rnacentral:rRNA from 1 species
AUUGAACGCUGGCGGAAUGCUUUAUACAUGCAAGUCGAACGGCAGCACGGACUUCGGUCUGGUGGCGAGUGGCGAACGGGUGAGUAAUGUAUCGGAACGUGCCCAGUCGUGGGGGAUAACGUAGUGAAAAUUACGCUAAUACCGCAUACGAUCUAUGGAUGAAAGCGGGGGAUCGCAAGACCUCGCGCGAUUGGAGCGGCCGAUAUCAGAUUAGGUAGUUGGUGGGGUAAAGGCCCACCAAGCCAACGAUCUGUAGCUGGUCUGAGAGGACGACCAGCCACACUGGAACUGAGACACGGUCCAGACUCCUACGGGAGGCUGCAGUGGGGAAUUUUGGACAAUGGGCGAAAGCCUGAUCCAGCCAUUCCGCGUGCAGGAUGAAGGCCCUCGGGUUGUAAACUGCUUUUGUACAGAACGAAAAGGUUUCUACUAAUACUAGGAGCUCAUGACGGUACUGUAAGAAUAAGCACCGGCUAACUACGUGCCAGCAGCCGCAGUAA